rnacentral:misc_RNA from 1 species
ACGGUCACAAAUACUUACACAAACAGUGAUACAAACACAAAAACAAGCACAUACAGACAUUGGCAAAAACACAAGCAAACAUAGACAUAGACGCGAAAACAGACAUAAACACAAACAUACACACACAUAUAGAUAGACACGACAUAGAACAAGAAUAGACACAAACACGAACACAGGCAUAAAUACAUACACGAAUAUAUCGAAACAUACACAAACGCACCCCAUACAUAGAAGAAUAAGACACUGAGAAAAAUAAGCAAACACAGAUACAAAUAAGAACAAAAACAAAUACAAAAACAAACAUAAAAACAAACAUAGACAAAAAGAUAAACGCAAAUAAAUACAAACACAAACGCACACAAAUAUAAAUAAACAAACAUAAAUGCAGACAUAGACAAACACAGACAAGACAAAGACAAGCACAAAUAUACACAUAGAUAAACAUGCAUAAAGAUUAGUAUAGACACAAACACAAACAUAAAUAAAAAGAAGCAGACACCGACACAUACAAACGUAGAUAGAUAAAUACAAAUACAGACAUAGAUAUAAAUAUAAAAGAAAAAUAUUGACAGACAUAAAUACAAAUAUAGACAAUACAAAUAAAUACAAACGUAGAUAUAUAAACACAGACGAAAAUACAGACAGACAUAUAUAGACAUAGACAAAUAAAUAUAAAGACACAAACAGACAUGCAUACAAACAUAAAUACAUAUAUGAAUG